rnacentral:rRNA from 1 species
UACAGAGGGUGCGAGCGUUGUCCGGAAUCACUGGGCGUAAAGGGCGCGUAGGCGACGCGGUAAGCGUGCGGUGAAAGCCCGGGGCUCAACCCCGGGUCGGCCGUGCGGACUGCCGGGCUGGAGCACUGUAGAGGCAGGUGGAAUUCCGGGUGUAGCGGUGGAAUGCGUAGAGAUCCGGAAGAACACCGGUGGCGAAGGCGGCCUGCUGGGCAGUAGCUGACUCUGAAGCGCGACAGCGUGGGGAGCAAACAGG